ensembl:lncRNA
ACAAAGUAUCAGUAGCACUGUUAGCAUCAAAAGAUGCUAACAGUUUAGGGGAAGGAAGCGAAGAUGAAACCAUUGCAGAAAGCCGGGAGGGUGAGAGUGAGCGUAGGUUACGUCGAAAGAUGACAUGUGGAGGGGUAAGUGAUGUGUCAGAAACCAUGUUGAGGUUAAGAGUGAGGAGGAAGUGAUCUGAGGUGUGCAGUGGAGUAACCAGUACAUGAUCAGUGGAGCAGUGUCGUGUGUAAAUAAGGUCCAGUUGGUUGCCUGAUUUGUGAGUAGCAGUAGUUGACACUCAUAAAUUCAUUUACUCAAAAUUGCAAAUGCAUAAAUAAUAUUAUUAGAUUAAUGGUUUACUUUUUUUGACAUACAAAUAUGAAAUGUUGGAAAAAUGCAAUGAUACUUUUAAAUAUGAAAUUAAAUCACCAGUAGGUGGUGGCAAGUCACUGUCUUAAUGACUGAAUCAUUGAUUCAACCGAUUCGUUCAAACGGCUGAUUCAUUCAAUAAAUGAAGCAAGUGACUCUCUUUAUGAAUGGCUCACUGAAUCAUUGACUCGUUCAAAAAUGUUGAAUAAUUCAGUAACGAAUGACUGUGUGUGUUGCUCGGAGAUGCACGACUGUUCUGCUGUGGCUUUGCUUAGAACUAUUUUCAUUAGCAAAAUGGAUCGAAAACGAUCAAUACUGUGUCUAAAUGUUGAGGGACACCACGUGACCAGUGGGCUCUCUUAAAAGCGCGUGCUGGAAAGCUCCUGUAAUCACUUACCAACAGACCGAAGCAUCCUGGUGAGUUCAUUACUGUGAAUAUGUAGCCUAUACCUGCGACUCAUCUGAAUAGUUAACUAGCGGAAUGUUGCACUGUUUUUAAUGCAGUUUAACGUUACUUAACUAGACGGCCACGGACAGCGGGACAAUCUGUGUGACUUGGGUUAGGUUACUUUAAUACUUUGGGGGGGUUAAAAGCACAAGGUAAAUCUAUAAAUAAAAACAAUAACUAAAAAACUUUAUAAAUAUAU